rnacentral:lncRNA from 1 species
ACCAAUUGCUACACCUGCUGUCUCUGCUCAGGUGGGUGUAAUUAAUAAAUCAUGCCAUUGAAAGCCAGGUUACCUCCCUUGGACCACUGAUUACACCCCUGCGUGGAGGACACAGCCUGGAGUGAACACUGGGACUCACUUUGCUGUUAGCACUUGCGUGAGCUGGCUCAUUACUUGAAUUGUGCUCCUUGUUCUGUCUCUGAGAGGACUGAGCUCCGGGAGAGAACACCAAAGCGAUCGCCAACACCAAACGCAGGAGGAGGAAUUCAAAGUCGAGUGCUUUUGUUGGUUGGGUCCACAAGAAAAUAAAGAGCCAAAAUAAGUCCUAAAUCAGGAAACAGAUAUUCUGUGUUCCAGCUUGACUACAAACUCCCAGUGUGCAACAAACCUUAGCUGUGGCACAGCUGAAAAUACCAGUAACUAAGCCAGGUCCUGUUAAUGGCCGGCCAGUUCAUCUUCCAAAAGGACUUUGAGACAAGAUGGUUCUUCCCAUUAGAAGAAGAAAUGAAGUUUAAUGCAGAUGGACCCAGCCCUCUCAAUGGUUUGGCAUACUGGCCAAUGUUCCAUCAAAACCUGUGUUCCAACCAUAUCACACAUUGGAGACAAUUUUACCUGCUACCAGUCGCUUUAUCUGAAAUUGUUUGAUCGUAUACAAUGAAUCAAAGUGACACUCGACAACUCAGAGUUUAGUGACAAUGUCAGUGUUUACAUAUUUUACUGAAUUUUUAUCUGUAAAAAAAUCUGGAAAUCUCAUGAAAGAGGGUUUUCUCUUUGUCGGUUUUU